UGUAAGGUGGCUUAGUAGGUUAAAGUAUCGGACUAUCAAUACGGAGUCGUGGGUUCGAAUCCCAUCAAAACAA
rfam:Aedes albopictus isolate Foshan contig140811, whole genome shotgun sequence.